CCACUACUGUUGCUAAUGUGCAACUCUGUUCAGUACCAAUUGGAAUUGCACUUUAGCAAUGGUGAUGG
rnacentral:pre_miRNA from 12 species